UAACGUCGUCAGAAAUUUCACCCGGUGACGUGCAGGUCAGGCUUCGUUUUGUUCGCCGCGGUAACACGAUGUACUGCACAUUGGGCUGUUGUAAUGGUCAGGGUACGUAGCUGGUUCUGAUAUGUUCAGUGACCUUCGCGGAACGACGCAGUCCUGACCGUGUCAUUUUCAUUUAGGCCUAGGUAUACCAACUUCAGAAUCCGAGGUGAGAUCAGCUUUUGAUUGUGGGUAAAUAACAUCCAUUACCUUCACGUUCUCGCCCACGCAGCAGGCUGAUCCGCAGCCGGUCAUGGCGAGUGCUGGCCCUGGGGAAUUUCAACCGAACAAGACAAGUAAGGACGUUCCCGGACUAAAGGUGCUUUCGGUAGUCCACAUCGUGCUUGGAGUUCUGAGUGUCAUCUUCGGGAUCGUUGCCGUAGCACUUCGCUGCAAUUUUUCAUAUAUUGGAUUCGGAAUUUGGAGUGGGGUUUUGUUUUUCAUCCUGACUGGCGUUCUUGGAUUGUGUACACUGGCUCGAAACAACAGAAGACGCAUGGUUAUUACCUUCCUGGUGAUGUCCAUUGUGUGUGGAGCUGUAGCUUUCCAGUUGAUAAUUGCAUCUGCCGUUGCUGCUGCGAGAGAGUUCCCUCACUUUUGCCAUCCCGACAGCAUACAUCUGGAUUUCGAGUGUGUCAUUCACCCGGAACCCCGUAAAGCCAUAGAUUCUUUGUUGGUGGUAGUCGGGUUCUCUGAAUUGGCCAUCAGCAUUCUGAGUGCAUCUCUGUCCUGCUACGGCGCAUUCAGAUGCUGCCAUUCCUCCUACACUCCGGUUAUGGUGCAGUACGUUGCCCAACCAGAUAAUGUACAGUUUGUACCAAUGACGAUCAUACAACCACAGCAACAGCAAGGAGCGCAGGCGCCUUCUGCAGUGUAAGAAUGCCUGGAGACAGACGGUUUACCACAUAAAAAGAGAGAAUGCAAAUUUCAAUCAUGGGGAAGAAAUAUGUUAGACAAGUUUGUGGUUAAACCAGUUUAGUUCGCCUUUCGGACCCCGGCCAGGGCACGACUGCGUUGCUGAUUAUCAGUCCAGAGUAUUACUCGAUUUGGACAGGCUAUACGUCACAAACCUCGUGUAAUCUGACCAAUCACAAGGCCUGUUCUAGCAGCCCGCAAAGGAUCGUGGGUGUUUCCAUGAUGCAAGGUGCUUUUCUUAACGUAGGAGCAUACAAUGUAUAUGGAACAACAAACACCGACCAAAAAGUUCCGUUUGCAAAAUUUCAUUGGCUAUGCAAGCAUAAAGACCAUCGUUAAAGAUAUCGAUAAGAAAUUUAUCGUUGCCAACUUAAGAUAUAUAACGUUGAAGUUAGACGAAAAUUACUGUAUUUUUCGAUGACUACUAAAACAGUCAGUAGGGGCACGGGGAAGGAUCACUCUAUAUGCCCAUAAUGUGGUAAUACUCCUGACUGAUUAUGGCCUUUCCGUAAAUGACGUAAAGACGAGAGAAGAAAAAAACAUUUUUAAAGUGGCGCAAGAUGGUGACCAGAGAAUCUGGAAGGAAUGGGGGGAACGUGCGAAUGACGAUGUGAGUUCACAAAAUGGCAAGGACGAGGCCGUUCAAGUGGGAAUUAAUGUAUUACGGGUGUGCAUUUAGCGACUAGUCAUAAUGGUCCGGUCUAAGCAUAGGUCGGGCUGGUUCCCACUCCCAUCACGUUUGGAAUUGGAAAGACUAUAGGCAGUGGUUUCGACUGGUCUUACGUCUCCCCUUAGCGGAGGGCAGGGUGACAAGCCCCCCCCCCCCAACAUGUUGCUAUUUGUUAAAGGAAUUGAAGGUGUUUACACCUUCGUUUUAGAAAAAUCCUAUGCCUCCGUUACACCCAAACCUUAAAGUGUAGCCGCAAUAUAUUUUUCUACAAGACACGACUUUUUGGACACUUUGUACUCUUCUUCAAUGUAUGAAAACUCAUUUAUACUCCUAUUUGGUUACAUCCUCGGGAAAAGUGCACUUUUUAAAACACUUUUUAAACACUUACUCAAGUAUUCCUGGACAAAUGAGGACGCUGCCGCUGUGAUGUCAUCUAGCCAAAACAUUGUUCAUUGCAUAGGCUUUUCGUAUUUGUGAACCCAGAAUUUGCUGAAUGAAAACAUUUGUUAGAAAGUGAUUGAUGCUCAUUUGUUAUGCACGUCAACAACAACGAAUCAGCAAAGAAGAGAAAUAAGUCCGGUAAAAUCUACCAUGAUGCAGGACUUUAAGUACAAACCAACGUAACAUAUGAAGGUUUUCUUCCUAGGAUGAGAUCACAGUUUGCUCAUGAAUAUGGAAGUAUCAUUAGCAUAAAAACCAAAAAGGCAGUACGUUUAUAAUAGUGACAAAGAAGUGAGAAUCAGGUUAACUGAGACACAAAGUUGCAUUUUGAAGGUUUGUAUUGGGACAAAUUGAUUGCCGCUUCCCUUUAAAAUCGCCACAGCUCCCCAUGUACGCACCUUGUCCAAAAAUACAGGGAGUGUCUGGCCAAAGGAAAGUCAUUUUCCCAACUUGUUAAUGACAAAGAUUCCUUUUACGCUCAUUAUCCAUAAAGCCCAUGAGCUGGCAUUGUCGAUUGGUCCCGUGAUGAGAUUUCUCUAAUAUGGAGAGUCUUCUCAGGAUGAAGGAAGCGAUCAACUUGUUACUCUUCAGAAAAUUAUCCAUCACUCAUCCAAGGAAACUGUUACUUGUCAUAGAAACUGCCUUGUUUGAAUGUGCGGCUCGAAUAAGCAGUUGUGGCUACUUUUUAAAUAUCCGAUUGAUUCUUUCAGUAUAUAUAGUUACUAAUAACAGGUUGGCAUAAUUUUUCCUCCGGCUAUGCAUGUAUGUAUCGCGGUGAGUAGAGCUAAGAUGCGCUCAAAGUGUAUUUUAUUCAAAUAUUUAAUUCAUAAUUAUCACUGAAAGCAGGAUUACGUUUAGGGGAAGUGAGAAUUAAACACAGACAUGAAACCUACUAUAGGCAUCCGCCUCUAUGAAGGUAGACUCCGAGGAAGGAUUGUGGAAAAUAAACAAUAACGCCACUUUGUUGGCUUUGCUGCAUGAGGUGUUCACAGUACGGAAAUUACCCAUGCAUUGUAUAUAUCUAUGCGUCAAUUGAUCAAUUUGCCCCUAUCAUGAUGAUCCAACAUACGACUUUGACGCAAUUAUUGUCAAUAAAAGAGAAAAACAAACGCAUAUUCAAAUUUCAAAAUUAUCGUCUCAAUGUAAUUAUAAGUCUUUAAACUUUAUUUGAAUUUUGAACUGCUCCAUCUAUAUAUGUAGGCCUGUGCAUGCUUUUUGUUUUAUUUCUCUUCUUAAUUUUUGUUCGCUACAAUAAGAUCACUGUGUAGCCUAGUUCCCUUUAAUUUCCAAAUUACAUUUUGAUUAUAUGUCGCUCGCUGAAUAAUGCAAAUAAAAAUGUACUCUGAAGAAGCAAAAUUA
rnacentral:lncRNA from 1 species